GCCAUACAGAUCUCAGGCUGGAUGCUUUUGAUUAUGGCACUAGACAAAACUGAAUUGGAUUUUUUAAGUGAUCACCAUUACAGAGGGUGCUUUAAGCACGAGGCAUGUUCACAGCACUGUUUGAAAAACAAGGCAGCAAAUUGGUGUGUUCACAUAUAAUUUUGAAAUGCCGAUGGCUUUGCUGAACUCGCUGCAUCUCAUCCCAUCAGUUCAGAGAAAAUAAGCGGUUCCAGGCCUGGCUAAACGGUGUGGGGAGCUCAUCUGGGAAUUCAGGAAGCUAACAGCACGAGCCAAGGAGCUGUGGUUGAAUGCUUGAGCAAAGAUUCAUUCCACCUAACUCUAACCCUCAGAAAGCCGGGAAUCCGGUCUCAGCUCCCUCUGUAGUCAGCAGAGAUAAAUUCAAUUGCUUGAAGACAAUCCAUCGCACCUAAAAGAAAUACCUGCCCUCAUGCAGGUGCAGUGCUGAAGCCAGUAAUGUGAUCCAGGUACAGGCUGAGGACAGCUCAUGUUUAGGAAAGAAAACAGAAUGGGAGUUUAUCGAUCCGGUGAAAUUUAUUUGGGAAAUUGCCUUGAAGCCCUGGGCGAAGGUCAACAGUGGUUUGUAAGGUAUGCAGCAAAGAUCACGCAAAUCAUAGAAGAUGAGAGGAAGGAGGAGAGUGGGAGGAAGAAUUCAUCCUUCAGGUGCAAAAUGAAUGGGUCUUUAAAAUAGGAGCACGGGCAGGAGAUCCGUCUGCCUAUCUGUGCAUUGCUUCUCAGUGCACUCAUCCCCAUUGUAUACAGGCAUCAAAUACAAAAUUCAAAUCUGAAUUCAAUUUGCCUUUCCAUCAUUCCCAGGUUCCGCUUUCUGUUCGUUUGUGCAGAAUUUGUAUGUAAGCCUUCAUGACAGCGAGGAGAUUUCUGUGAGGCGGUGGGUCUGCAUUCUGCAGAGAGAACAGUCAGACUUCAGAUGGUUUGGGUCAGAUGGGAGGGGGGAGGGAGCUUUCUUUUUCCCUACAAAUAAGUCAAGGAAAUUGCCUUCCUCCUGGCUGAGAUUGUAAGGUUUUAGGAAAAGAGGCUCUGCUCGCAGGAAGAAUUCUGUGUGGUUGCAGAAGGGAGAAUAAAAG
ensembl:lncRNA